rnacentral:lncRNA from 1 species
UCUUGCCCCAUAAAUGUGGGUCUCAGCCCUCUAAGUGUGGGCCAGGGACCCCUAAGUGUGGGCCUCAGCCCCCUAAGGUGUGGAUCCUGCCCCAUAAAUGUGGGUCCUGCCCCAUAAGUGUGGGUCAGGGACCCCUAAGUGUGGGUCUCAGCCCCAUAAGUGGAGGUCUCACCCCAUAAGUGUGGGUCCUGGCCCCAUAAAAGUGGGUUUCAGUGUCAUUAGUGUGGGUCUUGGCUCCAUAAAUAUCAGUCUCAGCCCCAUAAGUGGAGGCCUUAGCCCCCUAAGUGUGGGUCUCACCCCAUAAGUACAGGUCUCAGCCCCAUAAGUGUGAAUCCUGCCCCAUAAGUGUGGGUCAGGGACCCCUAAGCGUGGGUCUCAGCCCCCUAAGUGUGGGUCUGACCCCAUAAGUGUGCCCCCAGUGCCCCCUCCCCUUGGUAGCCCAGUCCCCACACUUGGUAGCCCAGCAGCCACACUUGGUAGCCACCAUUGC